rnacentral:rRNA from 1 species
UACGUAGGGGGCUAGCGUUGUCCGGAAUCAUUGGGCGUAAAGAGCGCGUAGGCGGCCCGGUAAGUCCGCUGUAAAAGUCCAGGGCUCAACCCUGGAAAGCCGGUGGAUACUGUCGGGCUCGAGUCCGGAAGAGGCGAGUGGAAUUCCUGGUGUAGCGGUGAAAUGCGCAGAUAUCAGGAAGAACACCCGUGGCGAAAGCGGCUCUCUGGAACGGUACUGACGCUGAGGCGCGACAGCGUGGGGAGCAAACAGG